rnacentral:rRNA from 1 species
AUGGGUAAGACUGUUUUACUGCUUGCUGCUUCGGCUGAAUUAGCAUUUGAGGGCAGCUCUUGCCAUUUCCAAGGCUCCCUCGUAGGUCUUGUUCCCACCAAUGAAGCCACUCAUAUGGAUGAACACACAGCCAGGGAUGCCGGUUUCCUUGGACAGUUCAUCAUCUCUCAUACCCCUCCACUUCUCUGGGAGAGCCUUUCGGCUCUCGAAUCUGUCAGGUGCAACAGAGACGGCCUGCACUCGCCAGCCUUUGCUCCUCUCAUCCUGCAGUUAUGCGGACCAAGUCAACAUAUGUAUGAAUAUCUGGUGAAACAAGAAACAUGCCAGGAAGAAACAGGUUGCAACAACAAAAACAAAAACAUGCCAAGAAAGUUGAUCGCACAGCUGGCUGCAAAACUGCCAGCAUUACUACAACUUGAAAGCAUUACACCACUUCUUCUCCAGAUUAGCAUUUUGGUGGUUACUAUGCACAAAUGUACUCACACUGUCCAAAGAAAACUGAAAGGGGCCACAUUUCUUACCUCAUACAGCACAUACUUGGUCAGAGGGUCAGUCUUCAGCUCCUCCUCUAGCUCAAAUAGAUGA